rnacentral:lncRNA from 1 species
AAAAGAAUGUACUUUUGUUAUAUUGUAUACAUAAUUGGUAAAUGGCUUGAGUUUCUUAUUAUACUUCCUUAGCAGCUUAUCUCUUUUUUUUUUUGGAAUCUUAAAGGAUCUGAUGUAGGAACUAGUCGUAGAAAGGAAUCUUUGCUGUGUUAUUUUACUAUUAAGUGAAAACAAGAACGUGUGUGUGUGUGUGUGUGGCGAGGGUAGCAGUAAAAUAGUAAUGCCUUGACUUCAUGCUGUUUACCCUCUCAACCACCACCACCAUGUGCAGAAGCCUGGAACAAAGAAUGUAAAAAAGUUAGUACAGAAAAAUCAGUGACAACAGCCAAAGGCAGGCAGUGAGAGGUGCAGAAAACAAAACUGACGGUUUUUAAACACAGAAAGCAAGGAAGGCUUUUGCUCGACAUUAAGAGUGAUGAAAAGCAAGCUCCACUAACAGCAUAGGUGAGGCAGAGUUGGCAUGGAAGAAAUGAAAGAACGAAGGAAAGAGGCAGUAGAAAGAGGGUGGCUAGGCUUCUGGACUACAAUUUACAGUAUACAAGUCUCUGGGUACAUGUUAAUGACAUGCAGUGAUAAGUCAUCUUCAUAAUUAGUCAAAAGCAGUUUCCUCAGCACUUUAAUAAUUGAGUGGUUUUUAAUCAAGCCCGUUCAUUGUAAGCUAUUGCAGAUAAGUUUUCUUUAUAUAAAUAAUUUUCUGAACACAUACCUACUAGCCCAGAUCACUUAAAUGUUAGGAUUUCAGUGCACUGAUUAGACCUUUCUUAGUGUAGAUCAUACUGUCUUUAUGGGAUAGGCUAAUUCUUGGCCAUUUGAAAUACUACGAAAAGAUCAGAGACUUCAUUGGAAACUCAACUAAGAGUUCAAGACGAUGUCAGUGUUUUGGGGGACAUGUUUCCUAUCUUUUCUAUGUUAUGUGUGUAUAAAGUAUAUUUGUGUAGAUGCUGCCAGUGUCAUUCCUCAGACACUAUCUGCCAUGUUUUGUUUUUCUUUUAAAUUUUAAUUAAAAAAUUCUUUUUGGAGACAGGGUAUCUCUGUCUGCUCUGGAACUCACUGUGUAUACCAGGCUGGCCUUGAGCUCAUGAAGAUCUGUCUCCUAUGUUCCAGGAUUAUAGGCAAGGCAAGAAGUUUAAUCCUUAAGGUGAGGAAACAGC